UACGUAGGGUGCAAGCGUUGCCCGGAUUUAUUGGGCGUAAAGGGCGCGUAGGCGGCUCUGCACGUUCGUUGUGAAAUCGCCCGGCUCAACUGGGCGGGGUCAGCGGAUACGGCAGAGCUUGAGCAAGCUAGGGGGCAAUGGAAUUCCCGGUGUAGUGGUGGAAUGCGUAGAUAUCGGGAGGAACACCAGUGGCGAAGGCGACUCGCUGGACAAGUAUUGACGCUGAGGUGCGAAAGCGUGGGGAGCAAACAGG
rnacentral:rRNA from 1 species